rnacentral:rRNA from 1 species
UACGUAGGGCGCAAGCGUUGUCCGGAAUUAUUGGGCGUAAAGAGCUCGUAGGCGGCCUGUUGCGUCCGCUGUGAAAACCCGGGGCUUAACCCCGGGCUUGCAGUGGAUACGGGCAGGCUGGAGGCAGGCAGGGGAGAACGGAAUUCCCGGUGUAGCGGUGAAAUGCGUAGAGAUCGGGAGGAACACCAGUGGCGAAGGCGGCCUUCUGGACCAAUACUGACGCUCAUGCACGAAAGCGUGGGGAGCAAACAGG